UGGGUAGCUCAGUUGGUUAGAGCAGGGUGCUGGCAAUGCCAAAGUUGCAGGUUUGAUCCCCGUAGGCAUAU